rnacentral:rRNA from 1 species
AUGAUUCUGCGUGGCUCCACCGGCGACAUCAUUUUCUUAUCCUGUAGAGAGUUGCGUACAUGUACAGAACCAUUGGAGGCUGGGCUCUCAGCUUGCAUGGAGGGCAACAACCUCGCCCUGCAUUGGACGGAGAUGCCGAUAGAAGUAGAGACGGACUGCCUUUUCGCUCUUAACAUGAUUAAUGGCCCGGACAGGGAACGGUCUCGCUAUACCAUGUUGGUUGAUCAAAUUCAAAGGCUUUUGAGGGAAGAGAGGAUGUUCAAGCUAUCUCAUGUUCAUAGGGAACAGAAUGGUGCAAGCCAUUAUCUGGCCUCCUUUGAACGGACAGAAGGUCGCACUGUGGUGUGGUUGGGUUCGGGACCAGGAGACGUCCCUGAUAUUUGUAAGAAUGACUUAUGUCCUGAUUGA